rnacentral:rRNA from 1 species
GAUGAACGCUAGCGGGAGGCCUAACACAUGCAAGCCGAGCGGUAGAGUUUCUUCGGAAACUUGAGAGCGGCGCACGGGUGCGUAACACGUGUGCAACCUACCUUUAUCUGGGGGAUAGCCUUUCGAAAGGAAGAUUAAUACCCCAUAAUAUAAUGAUUGGCAUCAAUUAUUAUUGAAAACUCCGGUGGAUAGAGAUGGGCACGCGCAAGAUUAGAUAGUUGGUGAGGUAACGGCUCACCAAGUCAAUGAUCUUUAGGGGUCCUGAGAGGGAGAUCCCCCAGACUGGUACUGAGACACGGACCAGACUGCUACGGGAGGCAGCAGUGAGGAAUAUUGGACAAUGGGGGAGAGCCUGAUCCAGCCAUCCCGCGUGAAGGAUGACGGUGCUAUGGAUGGUAAACUUCUUUUGUACAGGGACAAACCUACCCUCGUGAGGGUAGCUGAAGGUACUGUACGAAUAAGCACCGGCUAACUCCGUG